UGGGGAAUUUUGGACAAUGGGCGAAAGCCUGAUCCAGCAAUGCCGCGUGUGUGAAGAAGGCCUUCGGGUUGUAAAGCACUUUUGUCCGGAAAGAAAUCCUUGGCUCUAAUACAGUCGGGGGAUGACGGUACCGGAAGAAUAAGCACCGGCUAACUACGUGCCAGCAGCCGCGGUAAUACGUAGGGUGCAAGCGUUAAUCGGAAUUACUGGGCGUAAAGCGUGCGCAGGCGGUUUGCUAAGACCGAUGUGAAAUCCCCGGGCUCAACCUGGGAACUGCAUUGGUGACUGGCAGGCUAGAGUAUGGCAGAGGGGGGUAGAAUUCCACGUGUAGCAGUGAAAUGCGUAGAGAUGUGGAGGAAUACCGAUGGCGAGGGCAGCCCCCUGGGCCAAGUACUGACGCUCAUGCACGAAAGCGUGGGGAGCAAACAGGAUUAAUACCCUGGUAGUCCACGCCCUAAANGAUGUCAACUAGUUGUUGGGGAUUCAUUUUCCUUAGUAACGUAGCUAACGCGUGAAGUUGACCG
rnacentral:rRNA from 1 species